rnacentral:rRNA from 1 species
AGGCGACGAUCCCUAGCUGGUCUGAGAGGAUGACCAGCCACACUGGAACUGAGACACGGUCCAGACUCCUACGGGAGGCAGCAGUGGGGAAUAUUGCACAAUGGGCGCAAGCCUGAUGCAGCCAUGCCGCGUGUAUGAAGAAGGCCUUCGGGUUGUAAAGUACUUUCAGCGGGGAGGAAGGGAGUAAAGUUAAUACCUUUGCUCAUUGACGUUACCCGCAGAAGAAGCACCGGCUAACUCCGUGCCAGCAGCCGCGGUAAUACGGAGGGUGCAAGCGUUAAUCGGAAUUACUGGGCGUAAAGCGCACGCAGGCGGUUUGUUAAGUCAGAUGUGAAAUCCCCGGGCUCAACCUGGGAACUGCAUCUGAUACUGGCAAGCUUGAGUCUCGUAGAGGGGGGUAGAAUUCCAGGUGUAGCGGUGAAAUGCGUAGAGAUCUGGAGGAAUACCCGGUGGCGAAGGCGGCCCCCUGACGAAGACUACGUCAG